rnacentral:tRNA from 1 species
CGGCGGUCUGGUUCAGGGCGAUCACGUCGUCCCAGUCGGCGUCCGUGAAGGUGUGGGCGUCGUCGCGGCGGAUGAUCCCGGCGUUGUUGAC